rnacentral:lncRNA from 1 species
UUUUUUUGGUGAUUACUAAAGAGAAACCGGUCUUCUCUCCCUUUAGUCAAAUGACAAAGAGCUGGGGCAGUUGGAUAAAAGCCUUUUAACAACCUGAACGAGAGGAACAGGGAAACCUGCUCCUUUAGCUGUGGCAAAGAUGUGGCAGGUCACAUCUCAGGCCUUUGCUGGUAGCAGCAUGUGGGGGGUGGCCAUGUACUUUGAAUCAUUAGCACGUCAAUUAUACUAUCACGCUGGCUACUCCUAGUUCACUGCGCAGAGGGAUGUUCUCCUUUCACUCUACCCUUUUUUUCAUCACUCAGCUCCAGUUGUACCUUCUUUGAGAAGCUUCUACAAACAGCCCAGUUGGAAGUGCUCUGUCCCCACUGUUAAUCCUCUUGUUUCUCACCGUUACGCUCUUAGUUUUCCAUUGUUACAUGUGAGUUGUCCACGAGGAUACAUGCAUAAGUAUGAGAAUAUAUACCCCUUCCUCAGCAAUUAGCACAGAGAAUUGAAUUAAGCAGUACAAAGGUUUUCAGUUUUAGGUUUACCUGAUUACCCCUUACUAUACUCAAAUGCAUCCCAAUACUUCUGUACUCCUAAAUCAACUGACAACCUUUAAGCAUAUGCUCUUUUGCUAGGUCUUGAAGAGGAGGCACAACUGCCUUCAUAUGAGUCCAGUGUGUGUUGUCAAAAUGUAACUUUUGAAUUGUUCUAAAGCCACAGUAAGAGAACAGACAGAUGAUCUGAAAGGAUGGUGUGUAUAGUCUGAGACUAUUAAAUUUGAGUCCAGCAAUAAAAUCCAGUUUAAAUGGUGAAAUCAACAACUUGGGGACUUUUGCUUCAACCCUGGACUUACUAAUUCACUAUGCAGACCACCCUGAGGGUCAAGUAGCUACCGACAGGAAGCACUGCUGUGGGGGGACCCCAAGCUGAAGAGGAGCAAGCUCUCUCUUAUAAGCUAAAUGACAUGAAGGCUUCUUAAUCUCUGUGACUAUUUCUCUCUGUCACCUCUGAGAUGUGGGCAAUCUUUUCAACUGUUCCACCUGGUUUCAGCAGAACCGUUAAGGAAUGAAGAGGUGACUAAAGAUGAUGCCCUUUUGAUCAGACCACUGGGAAGUGGGGGGCCUCCCCAGAGGCCCAGCAUUGUGAUAACAGAGAUAAUAAAAGACUCCCCAAAAGGGAGCUGAACACCUGGGAAAAACAGAUGGGGUAAUGAGCUUAGGUAUCUCUCCCUAAAAAGAGAGUUCCUCUCCAUGCUAGUUUGGAAGGAUUGGGGCUUGAGUAUAGUAAGGUCCUCUUACAUGAAAGUGCUCAAAGAGCAGUCAUUAUCUAACCCAUGCCAUACAUUUAUAUCCUCGGUAUAUUACAGUGGUUUAUAUUUAUAACAACAGCUCCAGCUGGACUCAGUGGCUCAUGCCUGUAAUUCCAAUACUUUAGGAGGCCGAGAUGGGAGGAUCGCUUGAGGCCAAG